UUGUUGAUCCUGGCUCUAGAUUGAACGCUGGCGGCAUGCCUUACACAUGCAAGUCGAACGGCAGCACGGGGGCAACCCUGGUGGCGAGUGGCGAACGGGUGAGUAAUACAUCGGAACGUGUCCUGUAGUGGGGGAUAGCCCGGCGAAAGCCGGAUUAAUACCGCAUACGCUCUACGGAGGAAAGGGGGGGAUCUUAGGACCUCCCGCUACAGGGGCGGCCGAUGGCAGAUUAGCUAGUUGGUGGGGUAAAGGCCUACCAAGGCGACGAUCUGUAGCUGGUCUGAGAGGACGACCAGCCACACUGGGACUGAGACACGGCCCAGACUCCUACGGGAGGCAGCAGUGGGGAAUUUUGGACAAUGGGCGAAAGCCUGAUCCAGCAAUGCCGCGUGUGUGAAGAAGGCCUUCGGGUUGUAAAGCACUUUUGUCCGGAAAGAAAACCUCCGCCCUAAUAUGGUGGGGGGAUGACGGUACCGGAAGAAUAAGCACCGGC
rnacentral:rRNA from 1 species